rnacentral:rRNA from 1 species
GUCACGCUGUAAACGAUGUCGAUUUGGAGUUUGUUGCCUAGAGUGAUGGGCUCCGAAGCUAACGCGAUAAGUCGACCGCUGGGGAGUACGGCCGCAAGGUUAAAACUCAAAUGAAUUGACGGGGGCCCGCACAAGCGGUGGAGCAUGUAGUUUAAUUCGAUGCAACGCGAAGAACCUUACCUGGUCUUGACAUCCAUAGAAUUCUGCAGAGAUGUGGGAGUGCCUUCGGGAACUAUGAGACAGGUGCUGCAUGGCUGUCGUCAGCUCGUGUUGUGAAAUGUUGGGUUAAGUCCCGCAACGAGCGCAACCCUUAUUCUUUGUUGCCAGCGAUUUGGUCGGGAACUCAAAGGAGACUGCCGUUGAUAAAGCGGAGGAAGGUGGGGACGACGUCAAGUCAUCAUGGCCCUUACGACCAGGGCUACACACGUGCUACAAUGGCGUAUACAAAGGGAAGCGAAGGUGCGAGCCGGAGCGGAUCUCAUAAAGUACGUCUAAGUUCGGAUUGGAGUCUGCAACUCGACUCCAUGAAGUCGGAAUCGCUAGUAAUCGUAGAUCAGAAUGCUACGGUGAAUACGUUCCCGGGCCUUGUACACACCGCCCGUCACACCAUGGGAGUGGGUUGCACCAGAAGUAGAUAGCUUAACCGCGAGGGGGGCGUUUACCACGGUGUGAUUCAUGACUGGGGUGAAGUCGUAACAAGGUAACCA